UCUGUUAUUAAUUAUUAAGUGAAAAAAAGGAUUCUAGAGGCCCUCUCUCUCCCGCACGAGGACGCGAGACGCCCCGGAACUAGGGUUCCUUUCGCCGCCGCGCCCCCAUGGCACCGCUUCCGGCAGCCCUCGCCACCAUCUUCCGUCCCCAAUCGCCGUUGUAGUCCCCCGCCGCCGGUAAAUAGCCUUGACGGAGCCCUAGCCACUGGCUCCCUGGAGCACGGCGCCCGCCGAUAGCCACGAUGGAGCGCCGGUGGACGUCCUGAUUGUGGGCGAGGACCCCGCCGAGGCGACUAACCUCGACACCGCGUGGCACCCCCAGGCCCCAGCAUCUCUGCCAUCGCCUCGCGCUGUCGUGCGCAAGGAUACCACCACCUUUCCCUGACAUCUCUGUCUCCACUCCCCCGAGGUGUGCUGCUCGCCGGCUCCACACCUCUAUCCUCUCCCAUCCAGUGCUGCUCACGACCUGCUAAAGAGAUGAAACUUUGCAUCUCCCGUGCGGGCCCUCCUCGCGGACAGCCUCCAACCCACACAAGCUCCCCUGUUCUGGCUCUGCAGCCUCCUGUGGCUGAGCAACGAAGAGAUCGAGAGGGGAAUACUCAGUUGAUUUUUCAGGGAUUGGAGAUUGAUCUUAUUUGUUUGGUUGUCCGUGGAUUCAAAGAUGAAGUAGAUAGUGAAGGUCAAGGCAACGGGCAUCAGACAUGUUAAUUUUUCUGAACUCUACUAUGGAACAUGUGUUUCUGAAUUUCUGCCAAAGUGUCAACUGUGGAUCGUACAUAGUAGUGCUCUUUUGAUAGUAGGUGGUCUGAAUUUCUGUCAAAGUGAUAACUGUGGAUCGUACAUAGUAGUGCUCUUUUGAUAGUAUGUGGUCGAAGUGUCGAAACACUGGAACAAGCACAAACUGAUCCUAGCAUCGAAGUGCUUUGUUUUUCCUUUGCAUCAAACUAUUUUUGUGUGCUCCAGAGUUCAGUGGGACAUAUGAUUGUCGUGCUCCAGCCCGUUUAAUCUCAGGGUCUUGCGAGCGGGGAAGGAGAGCACCUGUGAGGUAAGAAGGCACCAAUGCAACACGCUGUGAAACCUCGGCAUCACAAACGGGAUUCUGUCCAAGGAUGCAGAUUUUGAAGUGUCAAGUAUGAUGAUUUGGUCGGAUGCCUUCUGCCUCUGAGCUUCACUGAACACUUGCGUCCACCACCAACCUGCACAUCCGGAAGAAGAGAAGCAAGCUUUCUCCCUCGACCACAACCCGCAGCCAUGAUCCCAGUGCAAAGCUCCUGGUCAGCAAUGCCUCACAUGAUGUGUCAUGGAGCCGCCACCCACUGAUGUCUACCACCUCGAUCCACUUAGUUAUGCCCCUCAAUGGAUCUGGGGAGAGAACCCAUGACUAUGAGCAUUGAGAAGAUUAGGUGCGGCGAUUAGGUGUGUGGUCACAAAAAUGAUUGUUUCAUGCUUCUCUUCGCCCAUCUGUAAUGUGUACUCAUCCAGAGCAAUCUAUAAUUUUUUUGGCAUAGUCUAUAGCUUUGAA